rnacentral:lncRNA from 1 species
AUAUGAACCAUGACAGGUAGUUCAAUCUUUCUAAGAAACCACGAACCUCUCUUUUUCUUUCUCGGUUCAGGCGUUUCUCUUAUUGUUUUUUUUUUUUUUUUUUUUUUUUNGAACCUCGAUUCCUCCCUUACAAUGAACCCCAACAGCUUACCGGAUCGCACUCUGAUAGUGCACUCACUUGAAUUCAACCUCAGUUUGA